rnacentral:rRNA from 1 species
GACGAACGCUGGCGGCGUGCUUAACACAUGCAAGUCGAACGGAAAGGCCCUGCUUUUGUGGGGUGCUCGAGUGGCGAACGGGUGAGUAACACGUGAGUAACCUGCCCUUGACUUUGGGAUCACUUCAGGAAACUGGGGCUAAUACCGGAUAGGCGCUCCUGCUGCAUGGUGGGGGUUGGAAAGUUUCGGCGGUUGGGGAUAGACUCGCGGCUUAUCGGCGUGUUGGUGGGUUAGUGGCUUACCAAGGCUUUGACGGGUAGCCGGCGUGAGAGCGUGACCGGCCACAUUAGUACUAAGAGACGGCGCAGACUCCUACGGGAGGCAGCAGUGGGGAAUAUUAUACAAAGGGCGGAAGCCUGAUACAGCUACGCCGCGUGCGCAAUGACGGCCUUCGCGUUGUAAACCGCUUUCGCCUGCGACAAAGCGUGAGUGACGGUAAUGGGUAAAGAAGCACCGGCUAACUACGUG